GACGAACGCUGGCGGCGUGCUUAACACAUGCGAGUCGAACGGAAAGGCCCUGCUUUUGUGGGGUGCUCGAGUGGCGAACGGGUGAGUAACACGUGAGUAACCUGCCCUUGACUUUGGGAUAACUUCAGGAAACUGGGGCUAAUACCGGAUAGGAGCUCCUGCUGCAUGGUGGGGGUUGGAAAGUUUCGGCGGUUGGGGAUGGACUGGCGGCUUAUCAGUUUGUUGGUGGGGUAGUGGCUUACCAAGGCUUUGACGGGUAGCCGGCCUGAGAGGGUGACCGGCCACAGUGGGACUGGGAUACGGCCCAGACUCGUACGGGAGGCAGCGGUGGGGAAUAUUGCAGAAUGGGCGGGAGCCUGAUGCAGCAACGCCGCGUGCGGGAUGACGGCCUUCGGGUUGUAAAGCGCUUUCGCCUGUGACGAAGCGGGAGUGACGGUAAUGGGUAAAGAAGCACCGGCUAACUACGUG
rnacentral:rRNA from 1 species